UGCUCACCUUGCGCCUGUGCCAGCACGGAAGUAGACGCCACAACUACAGUCUGAGAACAAAAACUGAGGGGAGACUUGUAGUCAUUGUCACAGCAUUGGCUACCCUCAAUGCUGGUGUUUAAGUGCUCGUUCAUACAGCCAUCAAACGACCCGUCGCGUCACCGUCACGUCGAAAAAACGUACAGCAGAUGCGACGGAGCUGUGUUCGGACAGACGACGGCAGAUGCAACGUCGACAGCAACACGUUUUUGUACAGUGUUGACCGACCGCUCUCCUGUUCGCUUAAACGUGGAGAAAUUAGAUCAACAUUUUUCAGUAAGUAAAAUCAGCUUUUAUUGGUAUAAUGUUAAUGUAAACAAGAAAUAAACAGUUAAUAGUACAUUACGAACGCAAUAUGAAUGUGAUUGUAAAGCAAGAAAUUGAACGGUACUGAUCGCUGCAACUGGCAACACUGACCACUCUAAAGAUGGCGAGCCACAGCAACAACGCGUCUGCCGUCGUUAUGCUUGGCGGUUUAAUGCUGAUGUUUUUGCUUCGCAAGCGAAGACAGCAUCGAGCGCGUCGGCGACCGAGAAGCACGUGGGUUCGAAACGUGCAGACAUCGCAAGUUCGGCCACUCGUCUUUGCUCAUUCCUUUGCUGCACCGGUCCGACCCGCAACACUACUUCGACUACAUGAGGAUGUUUCCGGCGACGUUUGAGAAGUUGCUGUCUUUGGUUAGAAGUGGGAUUGAGCGACUGGACACCAACUGGAGAAUGGCCAUCUCGGCGCGGACACGACUCGAAAUAACACUUAGGUUUCUUGCAAGUGGUGACACUCAGCGCUCUUUGUCAUUUUCAUAUAUGAUUGGAAGAUCGACUGUCUCUGAUGUGAUUUCAGAAACAACGCAAGUGAUUUGGAAAACCCUGAAAAACAAAUACGUGAAGUGCCCUAGGAAACCUGAGGAGUGGCGCGAUAUUGCUGGGGGUUUUGAGCAGCGGUGGAAUUUUCCUAAUUGCAUUGGCAGUAUCGAUGGCAAACAUAUCACAGUCGAAGCCCUCAUGUAAUUCAGGAUCUGAGAACUUCAACUACAAAGGAACCUUCAGCAAAAUUUUGAUGGCCGUGUGCGAUUCUGCAUACAAAUUCCUCUACGUGGAAGUUGGUCGCUCUGGUGGAGAAAGCGACGGGGCCGUCUUCGGAAGGAGUACGCUUUGCAAAGCCCUUGAAACAGGGAAGCUGGGUAUUCCUCAACCGACUGCAAUUCCAGGAGGAGAUGUUGCCCCUUAUGUGAUUCUUGGGGAUGAAGCAUUCCCCUUGAAAGAAUACCUCAUGCGACCUUAUCCAAAGCGUUACAUAAAAACAGACAGUGAGAGAAUUUAUAAUUACCGUCACGCUCGGGCAAGCCGUGUAAUUGAGAAUGCGUUCGGCAUACUAACUAGUCGCUGGCGCAGUUUGAGGAGGAGGUUUAAGGCCACUGACGAGAAUGUCAACAGGUACGUACUUGCAUGUGUGGCACUGCAUAAUUUCCUGUUAACUGAAAAAGAGGAGAAAGACAAAUACUGUCCUUCCAGGCUAGUGGACACAGAAUCUUGGACUGGUUAGGUAAUUGACGGCGAGUGGCGACAGGAUGGUGAAACAGUGCCAGUGUUUCGACAAGCAUCAAAGUCGGGCUCAAACAGACCUUCCCGCGCAGCGCAAUAGGUUCGUCAGACAUUUAAGAACUGUUUCAUGGGACCGGGACAAGUGGAGUGGCAGUUGGAUUAUAUACACAGGAAUGCUCCAAGGCAAUGAGCACAUGCUAUGGAGUAGCGGCAUGCCCUUCUACAUGUAAAUAACCAAUCACUCGCAUUCAAACUUCUUUAAUUUCAAGCAGUGCCAUGUGGCACGCAUGCGCGAGCCUGUCUUGCUUGAAAGGCGUCAACUCCUUGGCUGAUUCUGCCAUGAAAUAAAAAAAAAGGAGGUGCAUCUGUGCACAAGCUGUUUUUGUGACGAGGCGGCCACGGCUUGCAUAAGGGCGUCCGUCACCUGCUUAAUGUCAUCUUCAUUGGCAUCCUUUGUCCUCUGCCUGCAAUAAAGAUUUUAUUUCACAUUCUUGAGCGUUUCUUGUUAUUGUCUCAAAUGUUUGAUUUGCAUGCAGUAAUUUGGAACAAAAAACUAUGCCAAAGGUUUUGUUUAAGU
rnacentral:lncRNA from 1 species